rnacentral:rRNA from 1 species
AACGUAGGUCACAAGCGUUGUCCGGAAUUACUGGGUGUAAAGGGAGCGCAGGCGGGAAGACAAGUUGGAAGUGAAAUCUACGGGCUCAACCCGUAAACUGCUUUCAAAACUGUUUUUCUUGAGUGGUGCAGAGGUAGGCGGAAUUCCCGGUGUAGCGGUGGAAUGCGUAGAUAUCGGGAGGAACACCAGUGGCGAAGGCGGCCUACUGGGCACUAACUGACGCUGAGGCUCGAAAGUGUGGGUAGCAAACAGG